CGUUCCAUGAGGAAAAGUCCGGGCUCCACCGGAACAAAUGCCGGAUAAUUACCGGGCAGAAUACGGCAGUUGCAUAAUUUCUUGUAUAACCCGUAUUUUGACAGAAAGUGCAGCAGAGAAUGACCGCAUUAUUUAUUUAGUGCAAGGGUGAAAAGGCGAGGUAAGAGCUCACCGGAUUUUUGGUAACAAAAAUUGCAGGAAAACCUCAUUUGGAGCAAGAUUAAGCAGCAACGUAAGCGUCCGGGCUUUAGUUGCGGGUAAAUCGCUAAAGAUUCAGGGCAAUCUGAAUUUCAGACAGAUGGUUAUGCGGAUGUAAAAAUCCAGACCAGAACUCGGCUUACUGUCUCUUU
rnacentral:RNase_P_RNA from 1 species